rnacentral:rRNA from 7 species
GGGUUGUGAGGUUAAGCGACCAAGCGUACACGGUGGAUGCCCUGGCAGUCAGAGGCGAUGAAGGACGUGCUAAUCUGCGAAAAGCGCCGGUAAGGUGAUAUGAACCGUUAUAACCGGCGAUGUCCGAAUGGGGAAACCCAGUGUGACUCGUCACACUAUCAUUAACUGAAUCCAUAGGUUAAUGAGGCGAACCGGGGGAACUGAAACAUCUAAGUACCCCGAGGAAAAGAAAUCAACCGAGAUUCCCCCAGUAGCGGCGAGCGAACGGGGAGGAGCCCAGAGCCUGAAUCAGCAUGUGUGUUAGUGGAAGCGUCUGGAAAGGCGCGCGAUACAGGGUGAG